GAUGAACGCUGGCGGCGUGCCUAAUACAUGCAAGUCGAGCGAACAGACGAGGAGCUUGCUCCUCUGACGUUAGCGGCGGACGGGUGAGUAACACGUGGAUAACCUACCUAUAAGACUGGGAUAACUUCGGGAAACCGGAGCUAAUACCGGAUAAUAUAUUGAACCGCAUGGUUCAAUAGUGAAAGACGGUUUUGCUGUCACUUAUAGAUGGAUCCGCGCCGCAUUAGCUAGUUGGUAAGGUAACGGCUUACCAAGGCAACGAUGCGUAGCCGACCUGAGAGGGUGAUCGGCCACACCGGAACUGAGACACGGUCCAGACUCCUACGGGAGGCAGCAGUAGGGAAUCUUCCGCAAAGGGCGAAAGCUUGACGGAGCAACGCCGCGUGAGUGAUGAAGGUCUUCGGAUCGUAAAACUCUGUUAUUAGGGAAGAACAAAUGUGUAAGUAACUAUGCACGUCUUGACGGUACCUAAUCAGAAAGCCACGGCUAACUACGUG
rnacentral:rRNA from 1 species